AAAGCAUGGUGCCGUCUACCAGUGAUUACACCUUGUAAACAUCUAUUAUGCCUUGACUGUGUUUCUUUAGAUAGCGAGAAGUGUACAAUUUCUGGCUGUGGUAACUUGUAUGAGAUGCAAAGUCCUGAAACACUGGCCCGUCCUGAAAAUCCAAAUCCAAAGUGGCCCGUUCCAAAGGAUCUGAUUGAGUUGCAACCAUCUUAUAAACAGGAUGACUGGAAUCCCGAUUGGCAAUCAACAUCUAGCAG
rnacentral:misc_RNA from 1 species